UGGAGGUGUGUCUAUAGAUACACUGUAUUAAUGGAGGUGUGUCUACUGAUACACUGUAUUAAUGGAGGUGUGUCUAUAGAUACACUGUAUUAAUGGAGGUGUGUCUACAGAUACACUGUAUUAAUGGAGGUGUGUCUAUAGAUACACUGUAUUAAUGGAGGUGUGUCUACAGAUACACUGUAUUAAUGGAGGUGUGUCUAUAGAUACACUGUAUUAA